GACGAACGCUGGCGGCGUGCUUAACACAUGCCAGUCGAACGGAAAGGCCUGCUUUCCCUUGUGGAUUGCGGGUGCUCGAGUGGCGAACGGGUGAGUAACACGUGAGUGAUCUGCCCCCAACUUGGGUAUAAGCCUGGGAAACUGGGUCUAAUUCCCGAUAGGACUGCAGGGUGGUGCCUGUGGUGGAAAACGAUUUUCUAGUGGUUGGGGAUGAGCUCGCGGCCUAUCAGCUUGUUGGUGGGGUAAUGGCCUACCAAGGCGGCGACGGGUAGCCGGCCUGAGAGGGUGGACGGCCACAUUGGGACUGAGAUACGGCCCAGACUCCUACGGGAGGCAGCAGUGGGGAAUAUUGCACAAUGGGCGGAAGCCUGAUGCAGCGACGCCGCGUGGGGGAUGACGGCCUUCGGGUUGUAAACUCCUUUCGACCGCGAGGAAGCCACCUGGUUGGGAGGGUGGUGACGGUAGUGGUAGAAGAAGCACCGGCUAACUACGUG
rnacentral:rRNA from 1 species